rnacentral:rRNA from 1 species
UACGUAGGUGGCAAGCGUUGUCCGGAUUUACUGGGCGUAAAGAGCGCGCAGGCGGUCGUUCAAGUCGCGUGUGAAAGCCCCCGGCUCAACUGGGGAGGGUCACGCGAUACUGAUCGACUCGAAGGCAGGAGAGGGUAGUGGAAUUCCCGGUGUAGUGGUGAAAUGCGUAGAUAUCAGGAGGAACACCGAUGGCGAAGGCAGGUCUCUGGGCCGAUACUGACGCUGAGGAGCGAAAGCGUGGGGAGCGAACAGG